rnacentral:rRNA from 1 species
AGGUAAGCUACUAAGAGCGAAUGGUGGAUGCCUUGACUGGUAAAGGCGAUGAAGGACGUACUAGACUGCGAUAAGCUACGGGGAGCUGUCAAGAAGCUUUGAUCCGUAGAUUUCCGAAUGGGGCAACCCAAUGUAUAGAGAUAUACAUUACCUAUAUAGGAGCGAACGAGGGGAAUUGAAACAUCUUAGUACCCUCAGGAAAAGAAAUCAAUAGAGAUUGCGUCAGUAGCGGCGAGCGAAAGCGCAAGAGGGCAAACCCAGUGCUUGCACUGGGGGUUGUAGGACUGCAAUGUGCAAGAGGUAAGUUUAGCAGAACAUUCUGGAAAGUAUAACCAUAGAGGGUGAUAGUCCCGUAUGCGAAAAACAAACCUUAGCUAGCAGUAUCCUGAGUAGGGCGGGACACGAGGAAUCCUGUCUGAAUCCGGGUCGACCACGAUCCAACCCUAAAUACUAAUACCAGAUCGAUAGUGCACAAGUACCGUGAGGGAAAGGUGAAAAGAACUGAGGUGAUCAGAGUGAAAUAGAACCUGAAACCAUUUGCUUACAAUCAUUCAGAGCCCUAUGUAGCAAUACAGGGUGAUGGACUGCCUUUUGCAUAAUGAGCCUGCGAGUUGUGGUGUCUGGCAAGGUUAAGCAAACGCGAAGCCGUAGCGAAAGCGAGUCUGAAUAGGGCGCUUAGUCAGAUGCUGCAGACCCGAAACGAAGUGAUCUAUCCAUGAGCAAGUUGAAGCUAGUGUAAGAACUAGUGGAGGACUGAACCCAUAGGCGUUGAAAAGCCCCGGGAUGACUUGUGGAUAGGGGUGAAAGGCCAAUCAAACUUCGUGAUAGCUGGUUCUCUCCGAAAUAUAUUUAGGUAUAGCGUUGUGUCGUAAUAUAAGGGGGUAGAGCACUGAAUGGGCUAGGGCAUACACCAAUGUACCAAACCCUAUCAAACUCCGAAUACCUUAUAUGUAAUCACAGCAGUCAGGCGGCGAGUGAUAAAAUCCGUCGUCAAGAGGGAAACAACCCAGACUACCAGCUAAGGUCCCUAAAUCUUACUUAAGUGGAAAACGAUGUGAAGUUACUUAAACAACCAGGAGGUUGGCUUAGAAGCAGCCAUCCUUUAAAGAAAGCGUAAUAGCUCACUGGUCUAGUGAUUUUGCGCGGAAAAUAUAACGGGGCUAAAGUAAGUACCGAAGCUGUAGACUUGCACACAACUUAGAUUAUUUAAGUUUAGAAUAUGAGAAACUAAGUUAUAUGUUUAGUUAUAUUUUUACUGAUUUUUAUAGAGUAAAGAUAGAAAUAAAACUUAGUAAAAUCAGUAAAAAUAUUCUUAGACUAAAGUUAAGUAGUUUAAGUUGUGUGCAAGUGGUAGGAGAGCGUUCUAUUUGCGUCGAAGGUAUACCGGUAAGGAGUGCUGGAGCGAAUAGAAGUGAGCAUGCAGGCAUGAGUAGCGAUAAUUAAUGUGAGAAUCAUUAACGCCGUAAAUCCAAGGUUUCCUACGCGAUGCUCGUCAUCGUAGGGUUAGUCGGGUCCUAAGUCGAGUCCGAAAGGGGUAGACGAUGGCAAAUUGGUUAAUAUUCCAAUACCAACAUUAGUGUGCGAUGGAAGGACGCUUAGGGCUAAGGGGGCUAGCGGAUGGAAGUGCUAGUCUAAGGUCGUAGGAGGUUAUACAGGCAAAUCCGUAUAACAAUACUCCGAGAACUGAAAGGCUUUUUGAAGUCUUCGGAUGGAUAGAAGAACCCCUGAUGCCGUCGAGCCAAGAAAAGUUUCUAAGUUUAGCUAAUGUUGCCCGUACCGUAAACCGACACAGGUGGGUGGGAUGAGUAUUCUAAGGCGCGUGGAAGAACUCUCUUUAAGGAACUCUGCAAAAUAGCACCGUAUCUUCGGUAUAAGGUGUGGUUAGCUUUGUAUUAGGAUUUACUCCGAAAGCAAGGAAACUUACAACAAAGAGUCCCUCCCGACUGUUUACCAAAAACACAGCACUCUGCUAACUCGUAAGAGGAUGUAUAGGGUGUGACGCCUGCCCGGUGCUCGAAGGUUAAUUGAUGGGGUUAGCAUUAGCGAAGCUCUUGAUCGAAGCCCGAGUAAACGGCGGCCGUAACUAUAACGGUCCUAAGGUAGCGAAAUUCCUUGUCGGUUAAAUACCGACCUGCAUGAAUGGCGUAACGAGAUGGGAGCUGUCUCAAAGAGGGAUCCAGUGAAAUUGUAGUGGAGGUGAAAAUUCCUCCUACCCGCGGCAAGACGGAAAGACCCCGUGGACCUUUACUACAGCUUGACACUGCUACUUGGAUAAGAAUGUGCAGGAUAGGUGGGAGGCUUUGAGUAUAUGACGCCAGUUGUAUAUGAGCCAUUGUUGAGAUACCACUCUUUCUUAUUUGGGUAGCUAACCAGCUUGAGUUAUCCUCAAGUGGGACAAUGUCUGGUGGGUAGUUUGACUGGGGCGGUCGCCUCCCAAAUAAUAACGGAGGCUUACAAAGGUUGGCUCAGAACGGUUGGAAAUCGUUCGUAGAGUAUAAAGGUAUAAGCCAGCUUAACUGCAAGACAUACAAGUCAAGCAGAGACGAAAGUCGGUCUUAGUGAUCCGGUGGUUCUGUGUGGAAGGGCCAUCGCUCAAAGGAUAAAAGGUACCCCGGGGAUAACAGGCUGAUCUCCCCCAAGAGCUCACAUCGACGGGGAGGUUUGGCACCUCGAUGUCGGCUCAUCGCAUCCUGGGGCUGGAGCAGGUCCCAAGGGUAUGGCUGUUCGCCAUUUAAAGCGGUACGCGAGCUGGGUUCAGAACGUCGUGAGACAGUUCGGUCCCUAUCUGCCGUGGGCGUAAGAAGAUUGAAGAGAUUUGACCCUAGUACGAGAGGACCGGGUUGAACAAACCACUGGUGUAGCUGUUGUUCUGCCAAGAGCAUCGCAGCGUAGCUAAGUUUGGAAAGGAUAAACGCUGAAAGCAUCUAAGCGUGAAGCCAACUCUAAGAUGAAUCUUCUCUAAGCUCUCUAGAAGACUACUAGUUUGAUAGGCUGGGUGUGUAAUGGAUGAAAGUCCUUUAGCUGACCAGUACUAAUAGAGCGUUUGGCUUAUCUUU